AGCCGUCGAAAUGAAAUCAUGGUUAGUUAGCAGCAAUUAUAAGCCAGAGUGGCCGUUUUUAUAAAAUUAAAAUAUAUUUUUUGUGUGUAAAAGAUUCUCCUCGUCCCACUGUCGUUUUAGGCUUUUGCUCUCUUUCUAUAUAAAUCUGGGACUGAAGAGUUACAAAGCCACCCUCAUUUGGCUGAAAACUUUGUAUUGGAGUUGGAGAAGAGACCCAUUAGGGCAUACCAUAGUGGGGGGCACAGAGAGAGAGAGAGAGAAAGCUGUGUUUGGGAAGUGGGAAAUUUUUUACAGCUUGUAGAAAAUGGAGAUGUUGAAAGUUCAAUUUUUUGCGAUGGCAAUUUGUGCCCUUGUUAUCUCUCUGCUUCUCCCCUCCAUCAAUGCUCAAACCCUUGCACCUACCCCUGCCCCUACAAGUGAUGGGGUAGCAGUGGACCAAGGAAUUGCUUAUGUGCUGAUGGUAUUGGCUCUGCUCCUCACCUACAUCAUCCAUUAGAGACCCCAUUUUUGGAGAAAGAUGAAAUAUAGAGAAGAGAAAAAUUCAAGAAAAAUUGUGAAGUGAAAUUGUUGCAUCAUUAUCAUGUUAGGCUUUGCUUGCUAGCCUAUGUUGCUCUUGUUGCUAAUUUGUUAUUACCAUCUUUAUCAAAUCCCCUAUUCUUUUUUCAAUUUCAAGAUUCAUUCAUUUCCAUAUCCUCUCUCUGUUCACAUAAUGUUAUUUUCUCUCUCUCU